rnacentral:rRNA from 1 species
GCCUGGGAAGUACGGCCGCAAGGUUGAAACUCAAAGGAAUUGACGGAGGCUUGUACAAGGGGUGGAGCAUGUGGUUUAAUUCGAUAAACCGCGCAUAAUCUUACCAUUUCUUGCAUAGAAGUUUGGAUUCCAAUGGUGCAGGUCAAUCUAUAAGUUGGUGCUGUAGGUUGUAUUUGUACUGGAUCGCUUAUUUUUUUUUUUCACAAAAAAAUAUAGUAGUAUAACUUUAAUACAGGCGCUGCAUGGUUGUCGUCAGUUCGUGCUGUGAAGUGUGCGGUUAAUUCCAUUAACGAGCGCAACCCUAAUGAAUAAUUGCAAUAUUGAAAGCAAAUUAUUUACACUGCUUAGACACGUUUUAAGAGGAAGUAGGUCGAUGUCAAAUCAUUAUGGCCCUUAUGGACUGGGCUACGUCAUGUGCUACAAAGGUUAUCGACAAUAAGAAGCAAUGGUGCGAACUUGAGCAAA